CUCCGCUCCCUCCCUCCGCAGCUUGACCCGGUAGUGAAGGCGGAGAGAGAGGCAGGCUGGGUCCGUCUGGCAGCCUACGAGAAGAGGCGGGAGCGGGAAAGGAGGGCAGCCGAGGCCCGGCGUGGGGAGGCCGGCAGGAAGGGCUUCGAGCCCGGUGCGGACCUUUUCUCAGCCUCCAAGCGGCCGCGCGGCUCCUUAGGCUGCUGCGCCGUGAGACGCGCCGACUUCCUCCAGACUAGCGCUCGGCGGGAGCAGAAAGAGCGAGACCUGGGCUUGCGGCGCGCCCCCGGGGCCGCGGCUUUGGCGGGAGCGCGGCGAGCCCCCUGGCGCGGGGCCCUGCCGUGGGAAGGCCGAGCUGGAAGAAACCUUAAGAUGUCCUGGCGCGACCACUUCGUGCUCCAGAGAAGGAAAAGACGGCUCGGAGCGAGCUUGAACACCGCGGCAGAACCCGGGCUGGAACUCAGCUCGCAGGCCCACCGCCAAGGCUCCUUUCCCUUCACCAAGUUUGCAGCCAGGAGGAGAGCCUAAAGCACAACUGAAGAGGCAGAAGCCAUCCUGCCUCUAUAAUUAGACAAGCAUGAAGAUAAAACCUUCCCUAUGAGGAUAAUGGAACAAAGUGAUAGAAGGGGCCUAGACUCCCUUCCUUUAGACUUCUUGUUAUCUGAGGAAAAUAAAAUGCUAUUACAAGUUUAAGCACAGAGAUGGGCUUCUAUUUCGUGCAUAUCAAUACAUCACAAUUCAUAUAAUGUCCAUUAAUUGGCAAAAGUAUCCAUUUUAAAGGAUUAAUAUGAGAGACUAACAGAUACCUAACUACAGUUAAAUCUCAGAAAAAUUAUAGUUUUUUAACCCAUCGUAUUUUUGAAAUUGAUCUCUCAAAGUCAGUUAUCAAACUAUUAAAUACAUUUGAACAUUGCUAUGCAUUGUUACAGUGAAUCCUGUUAUUUUCUAGGUGUAUUAUUGUGUAUGUGCCCACACGCACAUGUGUGUGUAUUUACAUAUACUCAAGGAAUCUGAAGGAACCAUGAUUUUAUAGGCCACUCAGUGCCCAAACUCAUAUCUCUUAACUCAUUCUUUUUUUUUUCUUUUUAAGAUUUUAUGUAUUUUGGGGGGCUCCUGGGUGGCUCAGUCAUUAAGCAUCUGCCUUCAGCUCAGGUCAUGAUCCCAGAGUCCUGGGAUCAAGCCCUACCUCGGGCUCUCUGCUCCGCGGGAAGCCUGCUUCUCUCUUUCCCACUCCUCCUGCUUGUGUUCCCUCUCGCUGUCUCUCUCUCUGUCAAAUAAAUAAAAUAUUUAAAAAAAAAAUAUUUUAUGUAUUUUUUGAGUGGGGAAGGGGCAGACGCAGAGAAGAGAGAGAAUCUCAAACAGACUUACAUUGAGCAUGGAGCCUGAUGUGGAGCUUGAUCUCAUGACCCUGAGAUCAUGACCUGAGCCAAAAACAGGAGUCAGAUACUUAACUGACUGAGCCACCCAGAUGCUCCUCUCUAAUUUAUUCUUUUUUUUUUAAGAUUUUAUUUUAUUUAUUUAUUUGAAAGAGAGAGAAUGAGAGAGAGAGAGAGAGCACAUGAGAGGGGGGAGGGUCAGAGGGAGAAGCAGACUCCCCGCCGAGCAGGGAGCCCAAUGUGGGACUCGAUCCAGGGACUCCAGGAUCAUGACCUGAGCCGAAGGCAGUCGCUUAACCAACUGAGCCACCCAGGCGCCCCUCUAAUUUAUUCUUUAAACCUUUCUAUUCAAUAUCCACUUCCUUAGGGAAUAAAUCCUAAUGUAACCCAUUAAAAAUGAUUUAAUGAUUUAUUUAUCUUCAACUUAUCAUUGGAGGCUUCUGGUGUGUGUGUGUGUUGUCCCAUUUACUUUAUUUGUAUACCUACUUUCUUGAGGGUUUUUAUCAUAAAUGGAUGCUAAAUUUUGUCAAAUGCCUUUUCUAUAUUGAGAAAGCUAUGUGAUUUUAAUCAUUUCAUUGAUGUGGUGUAUCACACUGAUCGAUUGGUGAAUGCUGAACCAUCUUUACAUCCCUGGAAUAAAUCCCACUCAAUAUGGCAUAUCAUCCUUUUAAUGUAUUGUUGGACUCAGUUUGCUAAUAUUUCUUUGAGGAUUUUUGUAUCUAUAUUCAUCAGUAAUACUAGCCUGUAAUUUUU